rnacentral:misc_RNA from 1 species
CAGAGUUGCAAAACUCCCACAAACCAUCGCGAAUCUUACCCGUACGGUUGCCUCAGCGCUGGCGGUCCGGAAGGCCCUCGGGCCCCCCGGAUCCUCGGGUCUCCCGCUCGCGGGAGGCUGCCCGCCGGAGUGCCGAAACCAAACUCUUGAUAUUUUAUGUCUCUCUGAGUAAACUUUUAAAUAAGUCA